rnacentral:rRNA from 1 species
AGUGAACGCUGGCGGUAGGCCUAACACAUGCAAGUCGAACGGCAGCACAGAGGAGCUUGCUCCUUGGGUGGCGAGUGGCGGACGGGUGAGGAAUACAUCGGAAUCUACUUUUUCGUGGGGGAUAACGGAGGGAAACUUACGCUAAUACCGCAUACGACCUACGGGUGAAAGCAGGGGACCUUCGGGCCUUGCGCGAAUGAAUGAGCCGAUGUCGGAUUAGCUAGGUGGAGAGGUAAAGGCCCACCAAGGCGACGAUCCGUAGCUGGUCUGAGAGGAUGAUCAGCCACACUGGAACUGAGACACGGUCCAGACUCCUACGGGAGGCAGCAGUGGGGAAUAUUGGACAAUGGGCGCAAGCCUGAUCCAGCCAUACCGCGUGGGUGAAGAAGGCCUUCGGGUUGUAAAGCCCUUUUGUUGGGAAAGAAAUCCAGCUGGCUAAUACCCGGUUGGGAUGACGGUACCCAAAGGAUAAGCACCGGCUAACUUCGUGCCAGCAGCCGCGGUAAUAC